UUCCUUGGAACAGGACGUCACAGAGGGUGAGAAUCCCGUGCGAUGAGAUGCCCAAUUCUAUGUAAAGUGCUUUCGAAGAGUCGAGUUGUUUGGGAAUGCAGCUCUAAGUGGGUGGUAAAUUCCAUCUAAAGCUAAAUAUUGGCGAGAGACCGAUAGCGAACAAGUACAGUGAUGGAAAGAUGAAAAGAACUUUGAAAAGAGAGUGAAAAAGUACGUGAAAUUGUUGAAAGGGAAGGGCUUGAGAUCAGACUUGGUAUUUUGCGAUCCUUUCCUUCUUGGUUGGGUUCCUCGCAGCUUACUGGGCCAGCAUCGGUUUGGAUGGUAGGAUAAUGACUAAGGAAUGUGGCUCUACUUCGGUGGAGUGUUAUAGCCUUGGUUGAUACUGCCUGUCUAGACCGAGGACUGCGUCUUUUGACUAGGAUGUUGGCAUAAUGAUCUUAAGCCACCCGUCUUGAAACACGGACCAUGAA
rnacentral:rRNA from 1 species